rnacentral:rRNA from 1 species
GUAGGUGGCAAGCGUUGUCCGGAAUUAUUGGGCGUAAAGCGCGCGCAGGCGGUUCUUUAAGUCUGAUGUGAAAGCCCACGGCUCAACCGUGGAGGGUCAUUGGAAACUGGAGAACUUGAGUACAGAAGAGGAAAGCGGAAUUCCACGUGUAGCGGUGAAAUGCGUAGAGAUGUGGAGGAACACCAGUGGCGAAGGCGGCUUUCUGGUCUGUAACUGACGCUGAGGCGCGAAAGCGUGGGGAGCAAACAGGAUUAGAUACCCUGGUAGUCCACGCCGUAAACGAUGAGUGCUAAGUGUUAGGGGGUUUCCGCCCCCUUAGUGCUGCAGCUAACGCAUUAAGCACUCCGCCCUGGGAGUACGGCCGCAAGGCUG